UUAUAGAUCAUUAUUAACCACACACACACACACGUGCAGUACGCGUAUAUAAAGCACUGAAAACCCAAACUUGAAUUAUCCAACUAGCUUCGCUGUCUCUGACUGACCGAUUUUCCUUAGAGCUACGCUUCAGCAGUACAAACUGUUGACUCCUGAAGAUAAAAUGAAGAUAAUCUGUGGGUUCGUUGUCUUCACUCUCCUCUCUUCACCCUUAGUACUGGGAUUGCCACAGUUCUUGGACGAACCAGACCAGAGCGUUACGUUAGUUGUGGAACCAGACGCAUACAAAAAUCCACAGCUCAUUGACAUCCCAGAGCGCCCAACAACUCAGCCCAAAUGCCUUCCAUGGCAAAGAUAUGAUGGUUCCAUGUGCAGAGUUAUUUUUCCUUGAUCAAACAGACGUUGGAUAGUGUGAAGCUGCUGAGGAAUGUGCUGAACCACUUACCACCUGCUAUAAUUGUUCUGGACAUCUGGUUCUACCAUACCACUUCAAUCAUCCUACUGACUAUAUUUAAUGUGAUAAAUUGUACCUAACAAUAAACCAAUUGUAUCAUUGGAAUUUCUCACACAUAA